rnacentral:lncRNA from 1 species
CCAAAAUACUUAAGAAUAUGAUAUGAUAAAUAAAAAUAAAAACAAGUAUAGGAAAUCGCCGAAGCGUGUGAAUGUAUUUCAGCGUAGAAAUAUCGAUUGCCAUAGAAAUAUAGGACAUUCUUGGAUUUAUAGACGGAUAUAUAUGGAGUUUCAGCCAUGAAUUACAUUUUGUUGGCGACCUGUCUAGCUGUGUUUAGUGGACACGUGGCCGGAGCUUACGAGGUGUGCAGCAAUAAGACAGUUGAUCCGGCGUUUUGGAAUUGGGGACUUUCGCUCAAAACAUUUUGUGGAAACUAUGCCUAUAAACAAAUUACCUCUAAACAAUAUGAUAUAUAUGAUUUUAAUGGUCAUGGAAUUUUCAUUUUUGUUUUCUUUAAAACAAUGGCUAAUUGUA